rnacentral:rRNA from 1 species
UACGUAGGUGGCGAGCGUUGUCCGGAUUUACUGGGCGUAAAGGGCGCGUAGGCGGCCACCGCAAGUCGGUUGUGAAAUCUCCGGGCUUAACCCGGAAAGGUCAAUCGACACUGCGGGGCUAGAGUGCAGAAGGGGCAACUGGAAUUCUCGGUGUAGCGGUGAAAUGCGUAGAUAUCGAGAGGAACACCUGCGGCGAAGGCGGGUUGCUGGGCUGACACUGACGCUGAAGCGCGAAAGCUAGGGGAGCGAACGGG